rnacentral:rRNA from 1 species
UACGUAGGGUGCGAGCGUUGUCCGGAAUUACUGGGCGUAAAGAGCUCGUAGGCGGUUUGUCGCGUCGUCUGUGAAAUUCUGCAACUCAAUUGCAGGCGUGCAGGCGAUACGGGCAGACUUGAGUACUACAGGGGAGACUGGAAUUCCUGGUGUAGCGGUGAAAUGCGCAGAUAUCAGGAGGAACACCGGUGGCGAAGGCGGGUCUCUGGGUAGUAACUGACGCUGAGGAGCGAAAGCGUGGGUAGCGAACAGGAUUAGAAACCCGGGUAGUCC